CACAACCUCGCCCUGACUGCAGUUCAGAACGGGUGAAUCAGAAUCUCUGCAGGCACGGUCCAAGCGCUGGAACUUUAAAAAGCUCCCCGGGUGACUCUAGUGUGUAGCCUGGAUUGAGAACCACUGAACUAAAUUGUUUACGUGAUAAGGCAGGAUGGAAGUGUGCAUGCUUGAGUAGAAAGCAAGUGGCACCAAGAGGAGCUAAACAUGCCGGAGAGGAAGAGCAUAGGUGUGAGCCCACAGACUGAGAAAAAUGAACAUCUUUUAGGUCUGGGGAGACUCUGCUUCUGGCUGUGGGUGACGGACGUGCCUUGCCUCUGGGCUGUUCCAUGCAUCUCAUUCCAGGCUGACAGGCAGCAGCAACUCAGGGCAUAUUCUUCUCCUGGCUACAGCAAGUGAGCAGGGAAUGGCUCAUUUUAAACCUCUGCUCAUGCAACAGGCUCUGACAUCCCAUUGGCCAAAAUGAGUCAUACGCUAAGUCCAAAGUCAAGGGUGGAAAGAACACGCUGCCCACCAUGAGUCCAUGUCAAGGGUAUUGAAGUGUAAUUUUCUAGCAGGAGAAUGAAGAAUUGAGGCCAAUGAUUCAGUUCACCACAGGUUUCCAAGAUUUUUGUAGUCACUUUUCAUCUCACUAAAACCUAUCAUACAAACCCCACCACAGGCAGUGGUAUCUUUGUCAUCUUUCCCCAGAAUAUGUUUUGUUUACUCCCAUCAGAGCUCCCGCUUCAUCAGGAGUUACACUAACACAGCUUUUAACUCAAACAUCCUUUUUUUUUUUUCUUUUUUUAAGUGGAAAUCAUUCCUUAUUGAAUUCACUAUUGAAUUCUUCUCCUGGAUGCCUUUCCUUAGAGAUUCUCACGCACACACAAAAGUAGUCCUCCUCUGUUCUUUAGGGAAACAGAACCCAGAAAACUCUGUCAAGUGAAGCAUGCUGGCCACGUAUGUGUUUUCCUCCGACAGAAUAGCACACUUCCCAAACCACUUCACUUGUACUAAUACAAAUUUACUUAAUUUUGCAGCAGUUUUAUUUUUGUUUAUUUAUUUAUUUAUUUAUUAAAGAUUAGCACCUGAGCUAACAUCUAUUGCCAAUCUUCUUUUUUUCUUUUUUGUCGUCUCCUCCCCAAAGCCCCCCUGUACACACUUGUAUAUUCUAGUUGGUUGUGCUAUGUGGGAUGCCACCUCAGCAUGGCUUGAUGAGCAGUGCCAGGUCCGUGCCCAGGAUCCGAACCGGUGAAACCCUGGGCCGCAAAGUAGAACACCAGAAGUUAACAACCACUUGGCCACGGGGCUGGCCCCCAGCGAUUUUAUUUUUUUGUACAUCUUCCAAAAUAUUUUCUGACAGAUGAAUGUGUAUUUGUUUGUAGCCAUAUUGUUUUCAAUGUAUUGUCUCAGCCAUUUUCACCACCAUGGGAGGAAAAAUGUUUCCACUGGUGGUGUGUGGCUUGUUUCGUUUCAGUUGUAAGACAUCUCAUAUGAGCAUUCUAAAUAUUUAUCAUUCAAUUUAAUGAAAUGUUGUAAAGUACUAGAGUGGUAGCAUGCGAUUUUAAUUUUUUUUUUUUUGAGGAAGAUUAGCCCUGAGCUAACUGCUGCCAACCCAGUGGCGCAGCGGUUAAGUUCCCACGUUCUGCUUCGGUGGCCUGGGGUUUGCCAGUUUGGAUCCCGGGUGUGGACCUACGCACUGCUUGUCAAGCCAUGCUGUGGCAGGCGUCCCACAUAAAAUAGGAGAAGACGGGCACGGAUGUUAGCUCAGGGCAGAUGAGGAGAUAUUGUUUAGAGGGUGUAGAGUUUCAGUCUGCAAGAGGAAAAGAGCUCUGGAUGUAAUGGUGGUGACAGUUGGACAACAAUAUGAAUGUUUAUUAAAUCACUGGACUGUACACUCCCUCACUUCCUGCAUACCCAUGUUUAUUUGAUUUUUCAUGUUUAGUUGAUUUUUGUAGUGAAAUGUUUUAAUUCCCUUCUCAUUUCUUAUUGUGUAUAUAUUCUGUAGCUAUUUUCUUUGUGGUUACCAUGGGGGUUACAUUUAACAUCCUAAGGUUAUAACACUGUAAUUUGAAUUUAUGCCAGCUUAACUUCAAUAACAUAAAAAACUCUGCUUCUUUACAACUCCAUCCCCACCACUUUCAGUUGUUGAUGUCACAAAAUUACAUCUUUGUACAUUGUGUUUCCAAAAACUUGAACUAAUAAUUGGGCCUUUUGAAUGAAUUGGUCUCUUAAGUUAUAUAGAAAAUAAAAUACGGAGUUACAAACCA
rnacentral:lncRNA from 1 species